UACGAAGGGGGCGAGCGUUGUUCGGAAUUACUGGGCGUAAAGGGCGCGCAGGCGGCUCUGGAAGUCAGAUGUGAAAGCCCCGGGCUCAACCUGGGAAUUGCAUUUGGGACUCUAGAGCUAGAGAUCGGGAGAGGUGGGUGGAAUUCCCAGUGUAGAGGUGAAAUUCGUAGAUAUUGGGAAGAACACCGGUGGCGAAGGCGGCUCACUGGACCGAUACUGACGCUGAGGCGCGAAAGCGUGGGGAGCAAACAGG
rnacentral:rRNA from 1 species